rnacentral:lncRNA from 1 species
AUAUUCUUUUCAGCAUCCAGAGGAUAUCUCCACAUUUUGGCCUCUAGAAAUUUAGAGACAAAAUUCAUGUUGUUGAUACAGCAACUGAAGAAAAGAUGAGACAGUUCAUUCCACCCAAGUCAAACCACCAUCAACAACAACUCAACCAUCACUUCCUCUACAACAUGAAAUAUCUUCAGGAGAUUCUGAACCCUGGAAUCUAGAACUCUGUACUUAGUAGUCUUGGAAAUAGCAACAACCUAAGGAUUACCAAUAUUAUUUCUAGUCUGGGCCAUAAUUAAAGAGAGAAAUCACUGAAAAUAAGGUGCCCACCUUAUCUGCCACUGUCAAUAUCUGUUGCUGAUUGGCUGCCAACAAUGGGCAAGAAAGCCUAACAGCUCUGGAAGUGACAGCAUCCUCUACACCAAUGGUCCUGUUUCCAGCUCCUUACUUGCAAUCAUCAUCCUCAGAAGCAAUCCCUGUGGAGAAAAUGCCUGAUGACUGCCUCAAGUUCAGAGGAAGAAGAGAUGGCUUCCAGAGGGGAGAAUCAGAUGAAUUUAAAGCAAGUCAAAAGGUUCAUAUUCUUUAUUAUAAAAGGAAUCACAUAAAAGUCUUGCCAUCAUUGAACAGCUGAAAGCUAUGAUCAUUCACCAGCAUGAAUCUAUGUAACAGGUAGUUGGUUUGGAAUACUUCUGUGGAACUGAGCAUGUAUUUCAAUCACUUAAAAGGAAAAAAAUCUUUUAUUUUAGUUUCAGUUCUAAGAUAGAAGAGUG